AAGUCGUAACAAGGUUUCCGUAGGUGAACCUGCGGAAGGAUCAUUGCAGGAGCGCAUACUUGGAUGUUUGGUUUGGAGUUUUUGACGGGGAACCCGGCAAAAACUGCGACCACUCACCAACAUGUUUACGCUUGUCUUGUUUGACAGAGUCAUAUCACAGCAACACAUACAACUUUUAACAAUGGAUCUCUUGGCUCUU
rnacentral:misc_RNA from 1 species